UUCCCUACGGGAGGCAGCAGUGAGGAAUAUUGGUCAAUGGGCGGAAGCCUGAACCAGCCAAGUCGCGUGAGGGAAUAAGGCCCUACGGGUCGUAAACCUCUUUUGCCGGGGAGCAAGGGCGGGGACGUGUCCCGGCCCGGAGAGUACCCGGAGAAAAAGCAUCGGCUAACUCCGUGCCAGCAGCCGCGGUAAUGCGGAGGAUCCGAGCGUUAUCCGGAUUUAUUGGGUUUAAAGGGAGCGUAGAUGGGUUGUUAAGUCAGUUGUGAAAGUUUGCGGCUCAACCGUAAAAUUGCAAUUGAUACUGG
rnacentral:rRNA from 1 species